GACGAACGCUGGCGGCGUGCCUAAUACAUGCAAGUCGAACGAACCGCGACUAGGUGCUUGCACUUGGUCAAGGUGAGUGGCGAACGGGUGAGUAACACGUGGGUAACCUACCUCAUAGUGGGGGAUAACAGUCGGAAACGACUGCUAAUACCGCAUAGGACAUAGGAUCACAUGAUUCUGUGAGGAAAGGUGGCGCAAGCUAUCGCUAAGAGAUGGACCCGCGGUGCAUUAGCUAGUUGGUAGGGUAAAGGCCUACCAAGGCGAUGAUGCAUAGCCGACCUGAGAGGGUGAUCGGCCACAUUGGGACUGAGACACGGCCCAAACUCCUACGGGAGGCAGCAGUAGGGAAUCUUCCGCAAUGGACGCAAGUCUGACGGAGCAACGCCGCGUGAGUUAAGAAGGUCUUCGGAUCGUAAAGCUCUGUUGUUAGAGAAGAACAGCGCAUAGAGUAACUGUUAUGCGUGUGACGGUAUCUAACCAGAAAGCCACGGCUAACUACGUG
rnacentral:rRNA from 1 species